rnacentral:rRNA from 1 species
CAACGCCGGAAAUCUCACCGGGAGCGACAGCAGUGUGAAGGCCAGAUUAAAGGUCUUGCCAGACGAGCUGAGAGGAGGUGCAUGGCCGUCGCCAGUUCGUGCCGUGAGGUGUCCUGUUAAGUCAGGCAACGAUCGAGACCCGCGUCCUCUGUUGCAACCAGUUUUGAGCUGGGCACACUGAGGAGACCGCCACUGAUAAAGUGGAGGAAGGAGCGGGCCACGGCAGGUCAGUAUGCCCCGAAUCUCCCGGGCCACACGCGAGCUGCAAUGGCAGGUACAAUGGGUUCCGACCUCGAAAGGGGAAGGCAAUCUCGAAAGCCUGCCGUAGUUGGGAUCGAGGGUUGUAACCCACCCUCGUGAACAUGGAAUCCCUAGUAAUCGCGUGUCAUUAGCGCGCGGUGAAUACGUUCCCGGGCCUU